rnacentral:ncRNA from 21 species
CUUUUCAGGCCAUUGGUAUAUCAUACCGAGCGAGUGCCGCACGAUGUGCGGAACUCCCCGCUUCUCCUCCCUGGGCGGGUGCCUGUCGUUCUACGAUUAGGCUGUUGACCCGCCGCAUGACGGCGGGUUUUUUUAUCGGCGCCUCAUUGACCGGUGC